rnacentral:rRNA from 1 species
AACCUCCGCAAUGUGAGAAAUCGCGACGGGGGGAUCCCAAGUGCCAUUCUUAACGGGAUGGCUUUUCUUAAGUGUAAAAAGCUUUUGGAAUAAGAGCUGGGCAAGACCGGUGCCAGCCGCCGCGGUAACACCGGCAGCUCUAGUGGUAGCUGUUUUUAUUGGGCCUAAAGCGUUCGUAGCCGGUUUGAUAAGUCACUGGUGAAAUCCUGUAGCUUAACUGUGGGAAUUGCUGGUGAUACUGUUGAACUUGAGGUCGGGAGAGGUUAGCGGUACUCCCAGGGUAGAGGUGAAAUUCUGUAAUCCUGGGAGGACCACCUGUGGCGAAGGCGGCUAACUGGAACGAACCUGACGGUGAGGGACGAAAGCUAGGGGCGCGAACCGGAUUAGAUACCCGGGUAGUCCUAGCCGUAAACGAUGCGGACUUGGUGUUGGGAUGGCUUUGAGCCGCUCCGGUGCCGAAGGGAAGCUGUUAAGUCCGCCGCUGGGAAGUACGGUCGCAAGACUGAAACUUAAAGGAAUU